rnacentral:rRNA from 1 species
AGGGAAUCUUCCGCAAUGGACGAAAGUCUGACGCAGCAACGCCGCGUGAAGGAUGAAGGCCUUCGGGUUGUAAACUUCUUUGAUUGGGGAAGAAAUUUGACGGUACCCAAAGAACAAGCCACGGCUAACUACGUGCCAGCAGCCGCGGUAAUACGUAGGUGGCGAGCGUUGUCCGGAAUUACUGGGUGUAAAGGGCGUGUAGGCGGGGAUGCAAGUCAGAUGUGAAAUUCCGGGGCUCAACCCCGGCACUGCAUCUGAAACUGUGUCUCUUGAGUGCUGGAGAGGAAAGUGGAAUUCCUAGUGUAGCGGUGAAAUGCGUAGAGAUUAGGAGGAACACCAGUGGCGAAGGCGACUUUCUGGACAGUAACUGACGCUGAGGCGCGAGAGCGUGGGGAGCAAAC